UUUUGCUGCCACGUCCUCCUCGAUCUCAUCCGUUUUACCUUCUUAGCCGGUUACAACUCCCUUCAAUGUAAAUGCAGACCCAAAUCCCCUACAUUCUCUACUUUGUUUUUGUAUUCUUCUCAUUCCAAACCCAACAUUCUCUGCAACUCCAUUACUAUUUCUUUUCCCCUAUCAUCCUUUCGCCUUUUUUCCUGUUGUUCUUUCUUUCUUUCUUCCUUAUCAUUUUAUUUUCAUAAUUAUCACCAUCUGUGUAAUUCAUCGAUUUUAUCAUCGCCUGUAUCAUCAAACUCUUAUUCCGUGAUUAUCUUCAAUGGCUUCACAGUCUCCCUUCAUGAAAGAGAAAAGGGCCGAGAAGAAAUCCUUCAAGUAUCAGAAUCUUACUGAUGUCCAUUUCAUUAAUCAAUUGAAAUAGGAGUGCAAUCUUCAUGACUAUGAUCUUCAACUGCUGUCGGGCCAAAAAGAUCUUCUAAAAAAGAGAAGUUUGAAGAUUUUGACCAUUCUCCCGAGGCGAGUAUCAUAACCAAGGUUCAACUCGAGAUCGAACUGCGUUUUCCCCUCUAUGACCCGAGCCGGCCCUUUGGUUAUGAAGUUCUAUCUCAGCUUCAUCCUCCCCGAUCCUUAGGUCAGUGAAACGGAAAUACUUUUCGUCUUAUGGCAGAGUGGAGAGGCGAGGAAAGGGUGAAUGCUCCGAUACCGCCUAGUUUAUCUAUGAUCCUUCCCAGGCGAGCAAAUAUACUUCCGCUAGUUUUUUGGGCAACUACCUAAGUGGUACAGCCUCUCUUGUUGAUCUCGCCGGUUUUGCUGUCAGUCCUCAUCGUCUUAAGGUUCCCACCGGUGGUUUUGAGAAGUUGAUAUUAGAUGAGGACUCAGAGGGCGGCACCAACACCAACAACCAUGCUUCCAUGUUUCUUUCUUUCAUGCUGAUCCCUACCAGUUUUGGGUAGUUAAUGUCGAUCAGGUAUGGUUUUAUCUGCUUUUGAUUAGUUUCGUUAUUCUACAGCCUCAGAGCCAAAAUUCUCGGAAGAGGGGUUCUAGUAACAGGCCUGAGGAGGAUCCAUUGAAGGUAAAAAAUAUAAUUGCUCUUCUCUCAGUACGCGUACUUUCCCCUAUUUGUUGUCUUUAAUGGAUCUGGCGAUGUUGUCUUUGCAUAAAUCGAGGACUGGCGAAGUUGGUGUCGAAGGUACUUCCGGAAAAGGUGGUGAGGACCCCGACCAUCGGCUUCCGCUAUCUAGAUUUUUAUCUAAAAAGCUUGUCAAGAAGCAUACGGACAUCUCCUAUAUUGUUGUAGGUGAUAAAUCUGAGAAAGGUGUGAAAGGUGCUAAGGAUGGUAAGGGUGCCUCUGGAGGAAGUCUUGGAAAGAACACUACCCAGAUCCUAUCAUCCAAAGUAUCUUCCUCGGGUAAGGAAUCCAAUCUCUCGAAGUUAAAUGUCACGGUUGUGUUGUCAGAUGACGAUAGCGAGCUAGGUGAUCUUUUUGGUCCAGACAUUGAGAUGGAUGUAUCAGGUGUACCAGAGGAAGAAGAGUAGAAGGAAGAAAAACAGAGUCAAUCCGAAAUCCCUUCUGGCGAGGGUAAAGGUCACACCAUUCAUGAGGAGGAUCCUAUUGAGAAUAUUGAGAGGAAUCCUUAGAACCGAGGUUUGAUUGGUGGUUUGACGUUCACUUUUUGUAGCGCUGCAUGUGACUCACUUGAUGCCCUAGCCUCUUCAAGUUUCAGCUCGCUUACAGUUGCCGAGAUGUUGCAAGCCGUGCCCCUGUACAGUCCUGCUAUGAAGGAAUACCUCAAUCUUGUUGACGAGAAUCAAAAACUUCUUGAGGAUGCUAUUCAUCAGAAAGAGUUAGAAGAAAUGACGCUACUUCGGACUCAGCUGCGAGGGGAACAACACUGAUCUCGGGACAUCGAGAAGCAGCUAAACAAGGCGAAAGGUUGAAGAAGGUUAUGUUGCUACACUUUAACAGAAAAUUUAUAACAAGGAUGAAAAAAUUGACCGUCAGGCCUCCGAAAUUGAGGAACUCUGAGCCGAGCUCACUCAUUAUCAACGAUUUGAAUACGUUCCUGAAGAGAUAGAUAACCUCCGUGCCGAGGUAUCCCAACUUCAAAGGGUUGCCGCUGACAGGCUCUCACGAGAUGAGAAUUUAGAAAGUCAAUGUAACUUCAAAGGGUUGCAGCGUCAGGAUAUGGAUCUUCAUUCCGAUCGUUGGCGUCUCUCCUGAUUGAAAGAUGAAGAAGACAUCUGUUCAGAAAUUAGAAGAUAAGCUUCGUGGGUUUGAUCAUAUUAUUCGGGUUUAUGAAUGGACUCGGAUCCAAUUGUUAGCCAAUCAAGGUAAGGUCAAAGAUCUAUAGGAAGAUGUCGCCCACCUGAAAACAGACCGAGGUCUUUCUGAACACCAAGCUUAGUGACGAUGCUAUGGAGUUGACCCGUCAACUGGGGGAGGCGUAAAAGGAGCAUGAUCGGGAUCUUUCCGACAAGAUCAAUGUGGGGGGUAAAAGAAUUUAUCAAUAUGCGAAAAUCCAAGGUUGAUGCAAAGAAUGCGGGUUCGGGUUCAACCAAUCCUGAAGCUUAGUUUUUGUCUUUUGUAGUGUUGUGUCACUAUUUUCCCCCUCAUCUCGGGAUGUAAUUUUCUUUCGCUUGAACACCUUUAUAUUUAAGAUAUUUCUGUUUGUGGGGUGAUGCGCCACCGAUUAGUCCCUCUUUAUUGGGAUUUUUGUUUCCGA